CCUCACUCGAGAGGACUUUCACUGGGGAGCUGAGGGCUAAGGCUGCACGGAGCUAUAUGUAAAAACUAAGUAAUUCUACAGACUCUAGAGCCCCACUGGGCUAGCAUUAUGUUUGUUUGAGUUUACUCUGGGUGUGGUGGAGGGCCUUUAAAACAAUAAAGGUACGUUUGAGUUCAUUUACUCCCCGUGUCUGUGUAUCUCUGUGUGCUUCCUCCUUCCGGGUCACAGUGUUCACGCCCCUAACCCCAGGGGCCUACCACAGUGGUGGAGAACGCUACCGGGGGCCGCCGCUCAGCCAGCCCCAGCGCUACCAAGAGCCGCUGCUCAGCCAGCCCCGGCGCUACCAAGAGCCACUGCUCAGCCAGCCCCGGCGCUGCCGAGAGCCGCCGCUCAGCCAGCCCCGGUGCCACGAGCAGCCGCUCCACCUGUGCCGGUGCCACGAGCAGCCCCUCCACCUGUCCCGGUGCCACGAGCAGCUGCUCCACCUGUGCCGGUGCCACGAGCAGCCCCUCCACCUGUCCCGGUGCCACGAGCAGCCGCUCCACCUGUCCCGGUGCCACGAGCAGCCGCACCGCCAGCCACGGCGCUGCCGAGAGCCGCCGCACCGCCCACCACGGCGCUGCCGAGAGCCGCCACUCUGCGAGGCUCAGGGACAGAGGCUGGGAGGUGGGCUUCCAUCUCCCCGGGCCUCUCUCUGGAGGGGGGGGCCCAAGCGAACGAACUGGAUCCCCCGCUCUCCUCACCCCGCCUCUCUUCGUUCGCUCCAGUCACCAGGUCACGCCUCACCUUCGACCCUGGUGGCUGGAAGCUUAGGGGGAGGGACUGUGGCGUGAAUUAAUUAAACGAUUUCUCGAGGCACAGAAAAUUAAUCGAUCAUUUUUUUAAUCGAGUUACUUGAUUUACUCGAGUAAUCGUUUCACCACUAAAAGCACAACCAUCCAGCUCAAUUCAUCCAGCUGAAUAUUGAAUAUAAAAAUUGUUACUUCAGAGAGAUCCUGCCUCAAGCCCCACACAGUAAACAUGCUGGGGUUCCUGCUCAGAAUUUGUCUGACAGUUACAUUAAAAAUAUAUUUAUAGCAAG
rnacentral:lncRNA from 1 species